rnacentral:rRNA from 1 species
AGUCAAGUAAUUAAGUGCAUGUGGUGGAUGCCUUGGCAGUCAGAGGCGAUGAAAGACGUGAUAGCCUGCGAAAAGCUCCGGGGAGGCGGCAAAUAUCCUUUGAUCCGGAGAUGUCUGAAUGGGGGAACCCACCUACUUUAAGGUAGGUAUUGCAACAUGAAUACAUAGUGUUGCAAGGCGAACGAGGGGAAGUGAAACAUCUCAGUACCCUUAGGAAAAGAAAUCAAUUGAGAUUCCCUCAGUAGCGGCGAGCGAACGGGGAUCAGCCCAUUAAGUUAUGUGUGUUUUAGUGGAACGCUCUGGGAAGUGCGAACGUAGAGGGUGAUAUUCCCGUACACGAAAGGGCACACAUAAUGAUGACGAGUAGGGCGAGGCACGUGAAACCUUGUCUGAAUAUGGGGGGACCAUCCUCCAAGGCUAAAUACUCCUGACUGACCGAUAGUGAACCAGUACCGUGAGGGAAAGGCGAAAAGAACCCCUGUGAGGGGAGUGAAAUAGAUCCUGAAACCGCAUGCAUACAAGCAGUGGGAGCACCUUCGUGGUGUGACUGCGUACCUUUUGUAUAAUGGGUCAGCGACUUAUAUUCAGUAGCGAGGUUAACCGUAUAGGGGAGCCGUAGAGAAAUCGAGUCUUAAUAGGGCGUUUAGUUGCUGGGUAUAGACCCGAAACCAGGCGAUCUAUCCAUGAGCAGGUUGAAGGUUGGGUAACACUAACUGGAGGACCGAACCCACUGUCGUUGAAAAGCCAGGGGAUGACUUGUGGAUAGGGGUGAAAGGCUAAUCAAGCCUGGUGAUAGCUGGUUCUCCCCGAAAGCUAUUUAGGUAGCGCCUCGGACGAAUACCAUAGGGGGUAGAGCACUGUUUCGGCUAGGGGGUCAUCCCGACUUACCAAACCGAUGCAAACUCCGAAUACCUAUGAGUACUAUCCGGGAGACAGACUGCGGGUGCUAACGUCCGUAGUCAAGAGGAAAACAAUCCAGACCGCCAGCUAAGGCCCCAAAAUCAUAGUUAAGUGGGAAACGAUGUGGGAAGGCAUAGACAGCUAGGAGGUUGGCUUAGAAGCAGCCACCCUUUAAAGAAAGCGUAAUAGCUCACUAGUCGAGUCGGCCUGCGCGGAAGAUGUAACGGGGCUAAAACUAUGUGCCGAAGCUGCGGAUGUAUACUUUGUAUACGUGGUAGGGGAGCGUUCUGUAAGCCGAUGAAGGUGUGUUGAGAAGCAUGCUGGAGGUAUCAGAAGUGCGAAUGCUGACGUGAGUAACGACAAAACGGGUGAAAAACCCGUUCGCCGAAAGACCAAGGGUUCCAGUCCAACGUUAAUCGGGGCUGGGUGAGUCGACCCCUAAGGCGAGGCCGAAAGGCGUAGUCGAUGGGAAAAUGGUUAAUAUUCCAUUACUUCUGUGUAAUGCGAUGAGAGGACGGAGAAGGCUAAAUCAGCCUGGCGUUGGUUGUCCAGGUGAAAGGAUGUAGGCAUGUAUCUUAGGCAAAUCCGGGGUACUCUAUGCUGAGAUCUGAUAGCAAGCUGUACUUGUACAGCAAAGUGGUUGAUGCCAUGCUUCCAGGAAAAGUCUCUAAGCUUCAGUUACACAGGAAUCGUACCCGAAACCGACACAGGUGGUCAGGUCGAGUAGACCAAGGCGCUUGAGAGAACUCUGCUGAAGGAACUAGGCAAAAUGGUACCGUAACUUCGGGAGAAGGUACGCUGUUGUUGGUGAUGGAACUCGCUUCCUGAGCUGACGACAGCCGCAGAAACCAGGCCGCUGCAACUGUUUAUUAAAAACAUAGCACUCUGCAAACACGAAAGUGGACGUAUAGGGUGUGAUGCCUGCCCGGUGCUGGAAGGUUAAUUGAUGGGGUUAGCGUAAGCGAAGCUCUUGAUCGAAGCCCCAGUAAACGGCGGCCGUAACUAUAACGGUCCUAAGGUAGCGAAAUUCCUUGUCGGGUAAGUUCCGACCUGCACGAAUGGCAUAAUGAUGGCGGCGCUGUCUCCAGCAGAGGCUCAGUGAAAUCGAAAUCGCUGUGAAGAUGCAGUGUACCCGCGGCUAGACGGAAAGACCCCGUGAACCUUUACUGCAGCUUGACACUGAACUUUGACCUUACUUGUGUAGGAUAGGUGGGAGGCUUUGAAGCUGGAACGCUAGUUCCAGUGGAGCCGUCCUUGAAAUACCACCCUGGUAAUGUUGAGGUUCUAACUCUGUCCCGUGAUCCGGGACGAGGACCGUGUCUGGUGGGUAGUUUGACUGGGGCGGUCUCCUCCUAAAGAGUAACGGAGGAGUACGAAGGUGCGCUCAGCGUGGUCGGAAAUCACGCGUAGAGUAUAAAGGCAAAAGCGCGCUUAACUGCGAGACCCACAAGUCGAGCAGGUACGAAAGUAGGUCUUAGUGAUCCGGUGGUUCUGUAUGGAAGGGCCAUCGCUCAACGGAUAAAAGGUACUCUGGGGAUAACAGGCUGAUACCGCCCAAGAGUUCAUAUCGACGGCGGUGUUUGGCACCUCGAUGUCGGCUCAUCUCAUCCUGGGGCUGAAGCAGGUCCCAAGGGUAUGGCUGUUCGCCAUUUAAAGAGGUACGCGAGCUGGGUUUAGAACGUCGUGAGACAGUUCGGUCCCUAUCUACCGUGGGCGCUGGAAAUUUGAGAGGAUCUGCUCCUAGUACGAGAGGACCAGAGUGGACGAACCUCUGGUGUACCGGUUGUGACGCCAGUCGCAUCGCCGGGUAGCUAUGUUCGGAAGGGAUAACCGCUGAAAGCAUCUAAGCGGGAAGCCUACCUCAAGAUAAGAUUUCCCUAGGACUUUAUGUCCUCUAAAGAGCCGUUCGAGACUAGGACGUUGAUAGGUUGGAUGUGGAAGCAUAGUGAUAUGUGAAGCUGACCAAUACUAAUUGCUCGUGAGGCUUGACUAU